CCUACGGGAUGCAGCAGUGGGGAAUAUUGGACAAUGGGGGGAACCCUGAUCCAGCCAUGCCGCGUGUGUGAAGAAGGCCCUCGGGUUGUAAAGCACUUUCAGUGAGGAAGAACGCCUGGUGGUUAAUACCCAUCAGGAAAGACAUCACUCACAGAAGAAGCACCGGCUAACUCCGUGCCAGCAGCCGCGGUAAUACGGAGGGUGCGAGCGUUAAUCGGAAUUACUGGGCGUAAAGCGCGCGUAGGUGGCUUGAUAAGCCGGUUGUGAAAGCCCCGGGCUCAACCUGGGAACGGCAUCCGGAACUGUCAAGCUAGAGUGCAGGAGAGGAAGGUAGAAUUCCCGGUGUAGCGGUGAAAUGCGUAGAGAUCGGGAGGAAUACCAGUGGCGAAGGCGGCCUUCUGGACUGACACUGACACUGAGGUGCGAAAGCGUGGGUAGCAAACAGGAUUAGAUACCCGAGUAGUC
rnacentral:rRNA from 1 species